rnacentral:rRNA from 1 species
AGAGUUUGAUCCUGGCUCAGGAUGAACGCUAGCUACAGGCUUAACACAUGCAAGUCGAGGGGCAUCAGGAAGAAAGCUUGCUUUCUUUGCUGGCGACCGGCGCACGGGUGAGUAACACGUAUCCAACCUGCCCUUUACUCGGGGAUAGCCUUUCGAAAGAAAGAUUAAUACCCGAUAGCAUAAUGAUUCCGCAUGGUUUCAUUAUUAAAGGAUUCCGGUAAAGGAUGGGGAUGCGUUCCAUUAGGUUGUUGGUGAGGUAACGGCUCACCAAGCCUUCGAUGGAUAGGGGUUCUGAGAGGAAGGUCCCCCACAUUGGAACUGAGACACGGUCCAAACUCCUACGGGAGGCAGCAGUGAGGAAUAUUGGUCAAUGGGCGCUAGCCUGAACCAGCCAAGUAGCGUGAAGGAUGAAGGCUCUAUGGGUCGUAAACUUCUUUUAUAUAAGAAUAAAGUGCAGUAUGUAUACUGUUUUGUAUGUAUUAUAUGAAUAAGGAUCGGCUAACUCCGUGCCAGCAGCCGCGGUAAUACGGAGGAUCCGAGCGUUAUCCGGAUUUAUUGGGUUUAAAGGGAGCGUAGGUGGACUGGUAAGUCAGUUGUGAAAGUUUGCGGCUCAACCGUAAAAUUGCAGUUGAUACUGUCAGUCUUGAGUACAGUAGAGGUGGGCGGAAUUCGUGGUGUAGCGGUGAAAUGCUUAGAUAUCACGAAGAACUCCGAUUGCGAAGGCAGCUCACUGGACUGCAACUGACACUGAUGCUCGAAAGUGUGGGUAUCAAACAGGAUUAGAUACCCUGGUAGUCCACACAGUAAACGAUGAAUACUCGCUGUUUGCGAUAUACAGUAAGCGGCCAAGCGAAAGCAUUAAGUAUUCCACCUGGGGAGUACGCCGGCAACGGUGAAACUCAAAGGAAUUGACGGGGGCCCGCACAAGCGGAGGAACAUGUGGUUUAAUUCGAUGAUACGCGAGGAACCUUACCCGGGCUUAAAUUGCAGUGGAAUGAUGUGGAAACAUGUCAGUGAGCAAUCACCGCUGUGAAGGUGCUGCAUGGUUGUCGUCAGCUCGUGCCGUGAGGUGUCGGCUUAAGUGCCAUAACGAGCGCAACCCUUAUCUUUAGUUACUAACAGGUUAUGCUGAGGACUCUAGAGAGACUGCCGUCGUAAGAUGUGAGGAAGGUGGGGAUGACGUCAAAUCAGCACGGCCCUUACGUCCGGGGCUACACACGUGUUACAAUGGGGGGUACAGAAGGCAGCUAGCGGGUGACCGUAUGCUAAUCCCAAAAUCCUCUCUCAGUUCGGAUCGAAGUCUGCAACCCGACUUCGUGAAGCUGGAUUCGCUAGUAAUCGCGCAUCAGCCACGGCGCGGUGAAUACGUUCCCGGGCCUUGUACACACCGCCCGUCAAGCCAUGGGAGCCGGGGGUACCUGAAGUACGUAACCGCAAGGAUCGUCCUAGGGUAAAACUGGUGACUGGGGCUAAGUCGUAACAAGGUAGCCGUACCGGAAGGUGCGGCUG